UACGUAGGUGGCAAGCGUUGUCCGGAUUUACUGGGCGUAAAGAGCGCGCAGGCGGUCGUUCAAGUCGAGUGUGAAAGCCCCCGGCUCAACUGGGGAGGGUCACUCGAUACUGAUCGACUCGAAGGCAGAAGAGGGAAGCGGAAUUCCCGGUGUAGUGGUGAAAUGCGUAGAUAUCGGGAGGAACACCAGUGGCGAAGGCGGCUUCUGGGACGGUACUGACGCUGAGACGCGAAAGCGUGGGGAGCGAACAGG
rnacentral:rRNA from 1 species